UCUCAAAAUCUUGCAAUGCUGUGUGAUGACCCCUGCCAAAAGAAGGAAAGUGCCUGGGCUACAUUCUUACCUACCUCACAGCUUAAGUAGCGAAUACGAUUGAUUCUGCAUAAUUUUUUCCCCUUUGGACAGUUGUCUUUCCUUUAUGGAAUAUUUCUGGUUAAGUCAGUGAAGUUACCUGUGUGUAAUUCUGGAUUAAUCCAUUGAAGGCUGCAAUGGACCACUCAGUGCACACAUACUCUGCGUUUCUCAUACCCAGAACCUCGCUGUGUUGGAG